GACGUCUUUUUUUCAGAGAAGUCCUCGGCUCCGUGGAGAGACGGGUGCUCCGUCGCCUCGCGAGACGACGACCAUGUCCCGUGCUUCGAGGCGGAAUAGACGCCACAGCAGCGUUGUAGGAUUUUGUCUCCGUGACUCGACGACAAACUGGGAUCCUGCGCGCCAAAUGCAUCUGCACCUACAUAUCUGCCCGCCGGCGUCCUUGCUUCCCCCUCGGUCACGCUGGCUGUUCGGCGCCGAUGGCUCGCUCCCUCAGUCGUGGUGGUGGCUCGGCGCCGACGGCCCGCUCCCUCACUCGUGGUGGCAGGUCAGCAUUGGCCACGACCCGCGCAAUCACCAGUGUUCUUGUUAAUGGCGCAGCGAUGGCGCCAUCCUCCAGCGGUGCAUCCACCAGAGGCAAGCUUUCCCAACUUUGACAGAGAUGCACGCGUGAUACCUGGAUUGCUAUCAUUUUUAGGUUUCUGAAUCUACCGACACGACCAUUAGUUUCAGAUUCAGUUUUAGAUCGAUUUCUGAAUCUAUCGAAACAUCAGGUCCAGCGGAGGCAGCUAUCAGUUUCGGAUUUCUGAUAGCUACUAGCCAAUUUUCUGAAUCUUCAGUUAGAGCAAGUCUGUGAGCACUGUGAUUUUUCUAAAUGUGUCGUUUAUCAUAUAUAUAUACUGCUCCCCUUCUAGCUAUUGUUCUGAAUGUUUGAAUCGAGCGCUAGAUUACUGCUGCCCUUGUAGCUAUUUUUGUGACACUAGUGUGCACGUUGGAAUGAGAAAAGAGCUUUACUUUAUGAUUAUGAAUGUGAAUAAAUCUUUGCUAGUUACAAACUGCUCCCCUUCUCCAUCCAGCCGAUGGUUUUCAAAAACAUGUUGCACGUAUAAACAAUAUAUGAUUUAUGUCCAUGGUCUCUAAAAAAUAUUGUAAUCAUAUUACUCUUAUUUAUGAUUGAUACAUUUUGUUCAAAUAGCCACACAAUGACAUACAAAAAUUUAUUUUACAGUUGAUCUUAGCUAUAUGUAAAGCAUUAAACAGCUUAUAGACUAUGAGACCAUCUAUGGGUUGUAUGAUCUGUCUUUAUACUCGUCUGUAUGAUAGAUUUGAGACGUUUAGAGACAACCACUAGUCUGUGCGCGUUGUACAUGCCCUAAUCAAUGCGGGGCUGGGGCGUGGAUCACUCAUCGCUGUCAUGGCGGCGUUGGGCUCCGCAAUGGCGACACCAUUCAGAGCCUCAGAGGUGGAGCGUGCAGAGUGCAGUGCUCAUGGGCUGCUGCGACUGCAACGACAGCGAGCGAGGAGAUCACUGACGACGGAAAGCGAGCCGAGGCGAGCUGAGGUGAUCGAGGAGGGACAGAGGCUAGUGGUGGUGCUGCGUGGUGGCGGUGCCUUGAGGAUUCGGGAAAAGAAAACAACGGUCGGCGUUGUUGCCGGUCAUAUAUACUGCAUGAUCAGAUCAGAUGCGAUCUCUCUUCACGAGUGCUCUGCUCCGGAUGCUGCUGCGUCCCGCUCCAGCGUGGACAGUCGGUCCACUGGCCCCUGAACCGCUGCUACCAACUGGCAUAUACUACUGUAUGGGCUUGUGUGCUUUGAGAUGCACGCAGCACUGGCUUGGCUUCUGGCCUUGUGUGCUUUGAUAAGAUGCAACUGUGAUUAUACUACACCCCCAAACUUGGUAGUAUUAUUAUUGGUGACAAACCCAGGCCCAGCUCCAGUCUCUCCAAAUUGAGACGCUGACAGAUCAAGCCGAGCGUACAGUAAUUAUGUUUGUGCAGCCACACAAAAGGAACUGCAGGAAGUAAUGAAAGAAAAAGGGUCGGUUUCAGGCAAAGUGGAGGAGCAAUGGGCGGUGCCCGAGGCAGAGGCUUGGGCCGCUGGGGGCACAACACAACACAACACACCACCACCACCUGCCCUGCCCCUGCUGCUGCCUUGGGUUUUGCUUCGCUUUCACGACCAUGAUGAUGAUGCAGCCCGCUGCUGGCCUCUCAGCCGGACACACUCUCGUCGUUUGGGAAAUGCGAACGAGCUGGCGCCUGAUGCCAUGGAUCUGAUCGGCACUGCUCGUCUGUGGUCUCUCAGCUCUCAGCCGCUUCGAAUAUGAAUAUGUAGUAGCAACGCUGCCCUUGCUUCACCAGCCAGCCACCUUGGGGGGGCCUCACGCGCUCAGGGUACAAAGUAGGAACGCAUCCGAAUCGAGUUUUUGGGGCGGUGGGUGGUUAGCUUGCGAGGUCAUCCAUUCAGCCCAAGAAAA